GGAUGAAGAACGUAGCGAAAUGCGAUAAGUAAUGUGAAUUGCAGAAUUCAGUGAAUCAUCGAAUCUUUGAACGCACAUUGCGCCCUGUGGUAUUCCGCAGGGCAUGCCUGUUCGAGCGUCAUUUCAACCCUCAAGCCCCGCUUGGUGUUGGGCCCCGCCCGCCGUGGCCGGCCCUAAAGACAGUGGCGGCGCCGCCUGGCCCUCAGCGUAGUACAGCUCUCGCUCCAGGGUCCGGCGGCCGCCUGCCAGAACCCCCCCAACUCUGUGGUUGACCUCGGAUCAGGUAGGGAUACCCGCUGAACUUAAGCAUAUCAAUAAGCGGAGGA
rnacentral:misc_RNA from 1 species